rnacentral:pre_miRNA from 1 species
GUAGUACUCCCUCCGUCCGGAAUUACUUGUCGCAGAAAUGGAUGUAUCUAGACGUAUUUUAAAAUUCUAGAUGCAUCCAUUUUUAUUCAUUUGUGCAAGUAAUUCGCGAUGGGGGAAGUACUUU